GGGGCUGUGACUCAGUGGUAGAGAAUCUGCUUAGCAUGCAGAAGGUCCCAGGUUCAAUCCCUGGCACCUCCA